ACAUACCACAACUGGUUGGCUUCAUCUCUGAGUGCUGAUAUAAACCACUUUCCCAACCAUUUUUUUUAUUUCUUAUGGGCUGAAUUGCACUGGAAGCUGUAAGAGGUGGGCAGCUGUAUGUCUUAUACACUAUAAAAGAGUACACAUGGAAGCUUACUACUAAUAAAACUAAGAAAUUUUUCCGAACACAGUUCUCAUUUUGCUAUCCCCACUUGGAAAACAAAAAAUAAUAUUAUUUUUUUCUUUUGAAGACAGGUUUUGAGAACGAUGGACGAAACAAAAUUUCAUACUUGUUUUACUGAAAGGGAAAAAAUUAUGGAGGAAAGUGGAAACCCAAUUAGAAUUACUAUUUGGUUAUAUUAAAAUGAAGAAAUUGUUUUUGAAUUAAUUAUAUCAAUUUGGGGAUAUUCUUGCUUGAUACAACAGUUUCAAAAACCUCAUCCAUCUGCCUAUUUUGUCCCUUUUGAAUAGAAUUACCACCAUUAAGCCUAAUUGGACUCACAAAAGAUGAUUUUAAACUGUGUUUGGGUCUUGAAUUUGUGGAAAGGAGUGGACUGGUUAAAUUUAGCAUACUUUGUGCAGAAGGGAAGAUUUUGAAUUCUUGCUACUCUGGGAGCUGUAACUAUCUUAUCUUUCGCAUUCUCAGACUUCUCCUGGGGAAACUUGCCUCGCUUAACUAACUAUUUGACUAAAUUUCUAUGCUUCAUAUAUGUAAUCGUAUUCAGUUAAAUUGUCCAUUCUUACAAGUGUUUUCUAAAUAAAAGACAAGUUAUGGGUGUGUUAUUAUGUUCCAUUCAUGUCAAGAAAAGAUGAUUUACCAUAUACUUCAUUGCUGCAAGCAUUUCUUGAGCAUGGAAUACCAGACAGUCCUGAGAUGGUUGUUGAACUAAUGCAGAAGGUUAAAUUGGCUUCCCUUAAGAAGUUGUCUUUCAAUGCAAAAUGGAUACUUUGACCAAGAUAUGGCCUGGCAAACUUCAAGAACUAAGAGAGAUGAGAGUUUAAUAUUCUGCACCCUUAUUUUUGUGCUUUUACAGAUUCUUAACAUGAAAUUCUGUUUGUUUUUAAUGGAACAAGUGAUAUUUGAAAAAUUGUUGUCCUAAUUUUUUUUGUGGACCGCAAGCUGGUGGUUCUCCAUGAAAACAAUAUCGGUUAUUGUGUAAUACAUUGGCAUGAAAUUUUGUUUAUUGCAUUGUCUCACAGCCA